CCCCCACCUGCCUCUCCGCUUACCUUAAUUUCGUUCGUUUUUGAAACCCCUCAGUUUUUGCCUUUAUUAUUAACGGUAAUAAUUUCUAGGGCUUUACAUUUUUAACUGAAAAUUUUAGUUAUUUGUGGUUGUAUAAAUACUGUAGUGUCUCAGGUUUGAUGGAGCAAAGACAACGUCUAUUUUCAAUUGUAAGUUUUGGUUAUUGGUUAUUUUUUAUUCCUAUUAUUGUUAUCAUUACUAUUUCCUUGUUCUUAUUUCUUACUCUCUGGUAGCUGUUUGAUUGGUUGAUAUGUUCAUAACUUACCUUGUUCUUUGUAUUGAAUGAUGAUUGAUGAUGUCUGGAAACUGAGGUUGAGAGGAGUACAAAGCUAUCAAGAGGCGAAGAGAUAGGAUCAAUGAGAGGGUGCACUUCAAGAGCUAAUACCCAAUUGCAAUAAGACAGAUAAGGCUUCAGUGCUUGAUGAGGCUAUAGAGUACCUCAAGUCCCUUGAGAUGCAACUGCAG